rnacentral:rRNA from 1 species
UGGGGAAUCUUGGACAAUGGGCGCAAGCCUGAUCCAGCCAUGCCGCGUGAGCGAUGAAGGCCUUAGGGUUGUAAAGCUCUUUCACCGGUGAAGAUAAUGACGGUAGCCGGAGAAGAAGCCCCGGCUAACUCCGUGCCAGCAGCCGCGGUAAUACGGAGGGGGCUAGCGUUGUUCGGAAUUACUGGGCGUAAAGCGCGCGUAGGCGGACUGAUCAGUCAGGGGUGAAAUCCCGGGGCUCAACCCCGGAACUGCCUUUGAUACUGUCAGUCUUGAGUCCGGAAGAGGCGAGUGGAAUACCGAGUGUAGAGGUGAAAUUCGUAGAUAUUCGGUGGAACACCAGUGGCGAAGGCGACUCGCUGGUCCGGUACUGACGCUGAGGUGCGAAAGCGUGGGGAG